UAGAGUUUGAUCAUGGCUCAGGAUGAACGCUAGCGGCAGGCCUAACACAUGCAAGUCGAGGGGUAACAGAGAAGCUUGCUUCUGCUGACGACCGGCGCACGGGUGCGUAACGCGUAUGCAACCUACCUCAUACUGGAGAAUAGCCCUUGGAAACGAGGAUUAAUACUCCAUAGUAUCAUUCUUUCGCAUGUUAGAAUGAUUAAAGAAUUUCGGUAUGAGAUGGGCAUGCGUCCCAUUAGCUAGUUGGUGAGGUAACGGCUCACCAAGGCGACGAUGGGUAGGGGGCCUGAGAGGGUGGUCCCCCACACUGGUACUGAGACACGGACCAGACUCCUACGGGAGGCAGCAGUGAGGAAUAUUGGUCAAUGGAGGCAACUCUGAACCAGCCAUGCCGCGUGAAGGAUGACGGCCCUAUGGGUUGUAAACUUCUUUUAUAUGGGAAGAAACUUAUCUACGUGUAGAUAACUGACGGUACCAUACGAAUAAGGAUCGGCUAACUCCGUGCCAGCAGCCGCGGUAAUACGGAGGAUCCAAGCGUUAUCCGGAUUCAUUGGGUUUAAAGGGUCCGUAGGCGGAUUUUUAAGUCAGUGGUGAAAGCCGGCAGCUCAACUGUCGAACUGCCAUUGAUACUGGAAAUCUUGAGUACAAAUGA
rnacentral:rRNA from 1 species